UUGGAGGGCAAGUCUGGUGCCAGCAGCCGCGGUAAUUCCAGCUCCAAUAGCGUAUAUUAAAGUUGUUGCGGUUAAAAAGCUCGUAGUUGAAUUUCGGGAUCAAUUUGCCGGUCGAGACCUCUGGUACGUACUUGUAUUAUUGAUUUCUUUCAUUCUGAUAAAUCAUUGAUGUCAUUAAUUUGAUGACUUUGAGGAAUCGGAACUUUUACUUUGAAAAAAUUAGAGUGUUUAAAGCAGGCUUAUUAGGCUUGAAUACAUUAGCAUGGAAUAAUGAAAUAGGACGAUUGAUCCUAUUUUUGUUGGUUUCUAGGAUUGACGUAAUGAUUAAUAGGGAUAGUUGGGGGCAUUAGUAUUCAAUUGUCAGAGGUGAAAUUCUUGGAUUUAUUGAAGACUAACUACUGCGAAAGCAUUUGCCAAGGAUGUUUUCAUUAAUCAAGAACGAAAGUUAGGGGAUCGAAGACGAUCAGAUACCGUCGUAGUCUUAACCAUAAACUAUGCCGACUAGGGAUCGGAUGAUGUUAAUUUUUUAAUGACUCAUUCGGCGCCUUACGGGAAAC
rnacentral:rRNA from 1 species